rnacentral:rRNA from 1 species
ACGAACGCUGGCGGCGUGCUUAACACAUGCAAGUCGAACGGAAAGGCCCUGCUUGCAGGGUGCUCGAGUGGCGAACGGGUGAGUAACACGUGGGUGAUCUGCCCCUUACUUUGGGAUAAGCCUGGGAAACUGGGUCUAAUACUGGCUAGGACCAUGCUGUAGGUGGUGUGGUGGAAAGAUUAGUUUCGGUAAGGGAUGAGCUCGCGGCCUAUCAGCUUGUUGGUGGGGUAAUGGCCUACUAAGGCGUCGACGGGUAGCCGGCCUGGGAGGGUGGACGGCCACAUUGUGACUGAGAUACGGCCCAGACGCCUACGGGGGGCAGCAGUGGGGAAUAUUGCACAAUGGGGGCAAGCCUGAUGCAGCGACGCCGCGUGGGGGAUGACGGCCUUCGGGUUGUAAACUCCUUUCAGCCAUGACGAAGCCCUUGUGGUGACGGUAGUGGUAGAAGAAGCACCGGCUAACUACGUG